AGCAGAGUGGCGCAGUGGAAGCGUGCUGGGCCCAUAACCCAGAGGUCGGUGGAUCAAAAACCAUCCUCUGCUA
rnacentral:tRNA from 2 species